CCUACGGGCGGCAGCAGUGGGGAAUAUUGGACAAUGGGCGAAAGCCUGAUCCAGCCAUGCCGCGUGUGUGAAGAAGGCCUUCGGGUUGUAAAGCACUUUCAGUGGGGAAGAAAGCCUUGGGGCUAAUACCCUCGAGGAAGGACAUCACCCACAGAAGAAGCACCGGCUAACUCCGUGCCAGCAGCCGCGGUAAUACGGAGGGGUGCGAGCGUUAAUCGGAAUUACUGGGCGUAAAGCGCGCGUAGGCGGUCUGAUAAGCCGGUUGUGAAAGCCCCGGGCUCAACCUGGGAACGGCAUCCGGAACUGUCAGGCUAGAGUGCAGGAGAGGAAGGUAGAAUUCCCGGUGUAGCGGUGAAAUGCGUAGAGAUCGGGAGGAAUACCAGUGGCGAAGGCGGCCUUCUGGACUGACACUGACGCUGAGGUGCGAAAGCGUGGGUAGCAAACAGGAUUAGAUACCCGGUAGUC
rnacentral:rRNA from 1 species